UACGGGAGGCAGCAGUGGGGAAUAUUGGACAAUGGGGGGAACCGUGAUCCAGCCAUGCCGCGCGUGUGAAGAAGGCCUUUUGGUUGUAAAGCACUUUAAACGAGGAGGAGGCUGCUAUAGUUAAUACCUAGGGUGAGUGGACGUUACUCGCAGAAUAAGCACCGGCUAACUAUGUGCCAGCAGCCGCGGUAAUACAGAGGGUGCGAGCGUUAAUCGGAUUUACUGGGCGUAAAGCGUGCGUAGGCGGCUUUUUAAGUCGGAUGUGAAAUCCCUGAGCUUAACUUAGGAAUUGCAUUCGAUACUGGGAAGCUAGAGUAUGGGAGAGGAUGGUAGAAUUCCAGGUGUAGCGGUGAAAUGCGUAGAGAUCUGGAGGAAUACCGAUGGCGAAGGCAGCCAUCUGGCAUAAUACUGACGCUGAGGUACGAAAGCAUGGGGAGCAAACAGGAUUAGAUACCCUGGUAGUCCAUGCCGUAAACGAUGUCUACUAGCCGUUGGGGCCUUUGAGGCUUUAGUGGCGCAGCUAACGCGAUAAGAUACC
rnacentral:rRNA from 1 species